UAGCCAUUUGGGUUCUUGUAGUGCAGAUUGACUGCAGUAGGUUCAUUGUAGGAGUAGGGGUGCAUCUAGAUGGAAUCUAUCGACCUUGAUAGAUUAGGAGAGAUCCUAUGUGAUUUAUGAGACUGAGUUCGUAAAUCCUCGGUCGGGGUAGCAUGUACAGUGGAAAAGAAGUUUUCCACUCUCGAACUUAAGUCGAAUAAAUCUUGACAUAUGACAGACGAUGGGGUUUGACGAGUUAUCCAUGUCCUCCGUCCUAUAGGGAUUCACGAUAGAAAGACUGUAUCAUACGAUAACUGCACCUAGAGGUUCAUCAUUCCAUUCUGCUGGGUUGCCACUACAUGCUGCUAGGUGUCACUGGUGGAUGGUGAGACUCACAGGGACUAUCUUGAUGAUCGAUGAUCCCUGGUGAGUUGAGUUGGAAUUGUUC
rnacentral:lncRNA from 1 species